rnacentral:rRNA from 1 species
UGAGGAAUAUUGGUCAAUGGGCGCGAGCCUGAACCAGCCAAGUAGCGUGAAGGAUGAAGGUCCUAUGGAUUGUAAACUUCUUUUAUAGCAGAAUAAAGUGACCCACGUGUGGGUUUUUGUAUGUAUGCUAUGAAUAAGGAUCGGCUAACUCCGUGCCAGCAGCCGCGGUAAUACGGAGGAUCCGAGCGUUAUCCGGAUUUAUUGGGUUUAAAGGGUGCGUAGGCGGAAAGAUAAGUCAGCCUGUGAAAGUUUGCGGCUCAACCGUAAAAUUGCAGUUGAUACUGUUUUUCCUGAGUGUACAUAAGGUAGGCGGAAUUCGUGGUGUAGCGGUGAAAUGCUUAGAUAUCACGAAGAACUCCGAUUGCGAAGGCAGCUUACCGGGGUACAACUGACGCUGAUGCACGAAAGUGUGGGUAUCAAACA